rnacentral:rRNA from 1 species
UACGGGGGGGGCAAGCGUUGUUCGGAAUUAUUGGGCGUAAAGAGCGUGUAGGCGGCUUUACAGGUCCGUUGUGAAAACUCGAGGCUCAACCUCGAGACGCCGGUGGAAACCGUAAAGCUAGAGUCCGGAAGAGGAGAGUGGAAUUCCUGGUGUAGCGGUGAAAUGCGCAGAUAUCAGGAGGAACACCGGUGGCGAAGGCGGGUCUCUGGGCCGAUACUGACGCUGAGGAGCGAAAGCGUGGGGAGCGAACAGG